CUGACUGUUGGUGUUUUAAUGCAACAUUGAAUUGAGGCUGAAUUCAACACUAGAUGUGCAUUCAUUGAGGAAGUAAAGAUGCUGUUGGACUUUCCUGGCUCGGUAGGUGGACCUGGGAUUUGAACCAAUGACCUUCCGAUCAAACAUGGGUCUUCCUGAUGUCAACAAUCAUCUUUGAUUUUAUCAAUAUUGAGCAAUAGAUUGUUGUCUCUGCACCAUUGCAAGCUGUUCCUCUUCCUCCCUGUAUGCUGAUUUAUCACUGUUGCUUUUGAGGCCCAUUACUGCAAUGUCAUAAGAAAACUUGAUUUUCGUGACUUCCACAAUAUUCUCCAGGCUAGUGUCUAGAUCUGACCCCAGACAAUAUUCUUGCUACCCAAAAUUUCACAGACCUCAAGACUUUCAGAAAGCAAAUUCAUAAAGUUAUGGGACUGUGGUGGUGUGUGACAAUAAAAUGAUAGACACCUUAAAAACAGGAUUCGUGAAUUCGCUAGCUAGCGUAGUCUGAGUGCUGCUUUGAGGUUACAUCUGGCAACACGCUUUUUUUAUGAUUUUAGUCUUCAUCCACCAUCCUACCAUUUGAUAUCGUUCCUGAUUGUGUCCAGGAGUUCUGUGUAUGAUCCUUGGUUAUUUUGUCUUAAUACACCUAGCUUAUGUCACAAUCAGCUCUCUAGUUUGUGACUGCAUAUAACGUUUACACAAAUUCAGGCAUUACACGCUACACGCAAGCUACUUACAUUUGUGGAUGAAGUUGGCUGAGAGUUUGUCCGUCAUAUUGAAAGGCUUCAGAAAAUAUGAAGCGGAUCAUAGUGACCUUCGAUGCUCCCUGGUUUUUAGGGUGCAUUGUGGCUUAGUUAGCUGAUUGAGAUAGCACAUCUUGUUCCGCUGUGAAGUCUUGCUGCUUGUAAUUUCUAAGCCUUGUUGCAUAAUUCCAAAUCUCUCACAGGACUCAAGAUAUAUGAAGCGAUCCACAACUGUUAGCUAGUUAUGGUGCUUGCUAGCUACAACGUCGUUCUGGAAAAAUAAACAACGUUUUUGUUAUUGAGGUUAAUGUGAUUCUGCAUCUAUAGCAAUAACAAGAACUGUAACAAAGCUCUCUUAAAAUGGAAGAGCAGUUGGAAAAUUUGAUGUGGAAUCAAUUAUUAAAUCCAUACUUGUUUAAGAUUCUUCAAAAUAUAGUGGAGCAUUUCUUUAAUGUUGGGUUUUGGUUGUAGCAUCUAUGAAUAUAGCUCACUAUAGAAAGUGUGCAUGAGGGGGAGGAAAUGAUAGAUGGCACUUCAAGUAGCAGAGAGUGUGUGUAUGAGAGAGAGAGGGUGAGGGAGAAAGGAAGAAUAGUACCUCUCACCCACUCAUCUCACACACACAAAUUGGGCACUCAGUGCACAGAGCUACGUAGGAUUAAGUGUGCAAGAAAUAUGCUUAUUGACAUACGUUGUGUGUAUGUGUGUGUGGUAAAGACCUAGAAUGCAGCGGUGUGAAUGUGUAAGAGUGUGGAUUUGUGUAAGCAGAAAGGACAUCAGAGCUUAGACCAUGGCUUUAUGCCAGCUCACUGCAGAGGACGAACACACACACACACACACACACACACACACACACACACACACACACACACACACACACACACACACACACACACACAGAGUCUUUACCCGUUAU